UUAACUUUUGUUCAAGGAAGCUCACAGACCCCAGUCUGACAGCUGGGGAACAAGCAUUGGACCAAACCAGGCCCCCUGAACAUGGGUGUCAGGAUACCUGGGAAGUCUAUGGGACCUCUGGCAGUGGAACCAGUGUUUAUCCCUAGUGCAUGAAUGGACUUUGGGAGCCAAUUCCCCAUGGACGGAUACUUUUUUUAGCUUAGAUACACAAGGGAGGCCCUAGGCCCUGGCCCAAAUGAUUUGACAGACUUUGAUGAUCUCCAAUGAAGGCCUCACCCUCUCUGGGGAGUGGAUGGAGAAGUCUGUUUGGCACAUUCAUCUUUUUGCAACCCCCGGAGAUUAACCAAGACCACUUCCAUGACCCUGGAUGUGCAGAUAUACAUCGAAGUAUAUGCAAUACCUUACAGCACUACUGAAGAUAGUCGAUAUGGAAUGAAGCUUCCAAGAGGAAAAUCCAAGAAAACAAAAUAUUGCCUCUGAGGCUUGAUUGUUUUUGACGAUGCUUAUGGAACUCUACAGAAAAAAAAAGGGCACAACUAUAUUCAAUAGUGAAAACAGACGUUGGAAAAAUAUUUUAUUCUAUAUUAUGCUGUUACCUCAGUCUCAUCAUGAAUUUGAGAAGAAAGAAGAUUGUAAUUUCAAAGGGAUAUGAAAAAUUAGACUCACUAUACCUGGAACCUGAUAAAUUAGUUCCUAUCAUUGUAUUUCUGCUGUGUUACUGCAUAUCAGUCCUUGACAAUGACAUUAGUGUGCUAUGUAGUGAUCAAGCAAUGCAAAGUUUUUAUUCUACAUUUCUAUUAAUUAGUAAAUAUAAUUAAUAAAUCUGAGUAAUAUAAUAAACAUAUAUAUAUAAUUAUA
rnacentral:lncRNA from 1 species